rnacentral:rRNA from 1 species
UGAGGAAUAUUGGGCAAUGGGGGAAACCCUGACCCAGAGACGCCAUGUGAGUGAAGAAGGUCUUCGGAUUGUAAAGCUCUGUCAGGGGGGAAGAAGAAAUGACGGUACCCCCAGAGGAAGCACCGGCUAACUCUGUGCCAGCAGCCGCGGUAAUACAGAGGGUGCUAGCGUUGUUCGGAAUUAUUGGGCGUAAAGGGCGCGUAGGCCGUUUAUUAAGUCAAUUGCGAAAUUCUGGGGCUCAACCUCAGCGCUGUAAUUGAUACUGAUAAACUAGAAUGUGGAAGGGGUAGAUGGAAUUCCUAGUGUAGAAGUGAAAUUCGUAGAUAUUAGGAGGAACACCAGAGGCGAAGGCGAUCUACUGGGACACUAUUGACGCUGAGGCGCGAAGGCAUGGGGAGCA